rnacentral:lncRNA from 11 species
GCAGGAUCAGCCAGGUUUUGCAAGCAACCAGGAUCGGCUGGCAGGAAGGGAAAGGAAGCCUCAAUGCUGUCUGUCUUCAGAUCCCUUUGCUAUAGAAGCGAGAGCUGAGUUUUUCCUUGCUUCCCUUUGCAUUCAUUGCUCAGCCUGGCUGAGUUUCAGCUUUGCAAUAACGCGGGUCGCAGCGGGAAAGUGUUGAGGGUAUGAACUUUCCAAAGUCAUUCCUCACUCUGAUAAGUGCCUAAAUCUGAAUGAGGACUAUGUUGAAUUGUACUAUUUCAGUGUGGCUUUCAACUGCAUAUCCUUCGUACUGUUGGCUUUCACAACCUUCAACUCACCCACUAAAAUAACUUCGCCAUGCGACCCAAGGUUUUAAAAAGCAGAGUUGGGUGAUACUUUAUCAAGCCAGUAAAGAGAGCUUGGAAAGCUUGCCUUUGUAGCGCAAGAGUGAACAUCCUCAAGAUUCCGCUGCUUGGAUUGGAAGCCUGUUUCCUACCGCCGGCUGGAGGGGCUUGUGGAGUGAAAGCCGUUUUUAAGCGGCCCCAGCAGUAACUUUGUGUGACAGGCGUGCGCCCUUCUCCCUGGCGCUCAAUGAGACUUCUCGCAGCCAGCUCAGCCGGCGGGAAGAACUCCUUAUUUUCAUUUCAAAACCGAGGAGG